UCUUUAACAGAGGUACGGUACUCACAGGUGGGGCAGGGCAGUCCGUGCGUCCGGGAGCCCUGCAGCUUCCACAGGGAAGUCCAGUUCAUGAUUGCAGACAGCUGGGCCUCUGAAACCCUGUGCUGCAGGGCUAGAGGUCGGGGUGGUCUGUCCCGCUCAUGUUGGCAUGUCCCAGGCAGUCCCGUAGUCUCCCCCCACUGCCUGCUGGCAGGCUUUUGCACUUCAAACAUGCCCAUCCCUGCUGCAGCCAUGGUCAGUGUGCAGCGGGAAGCCUGGUGUGCACUCUGUACCCAUAGCUGCUGUAGGGCGACAGCUCGAGCUAGCCAGAUGGGCAGCAUAUACCCGCGGCCUGGCCUGUCUCGCAUGCAUCUUGUCUUCGAUCUACAGAGGAUGUGCUGUGGUUUAAGCCCGUUGAGCUGAGAACAAAAUGGGGCUGCAGGGGACACAUCGAGGAGCCACUAGGGACCCAUGGCCACAUGAAGUGCCACUUUGAUGGACAGCUGAAGUCCCAGGACAUGGUGCUGAUGAACCUGUACAAACGCGUCUUUCCCAAGUGGACGUAUGACCCGUAUGUGCCAGAGCCGGUGGCGUGGGUGAGAAACGAGGAGCCUGCCCCCGUGCCGGAGGUGGACACGGAGUAGCUCUUCGGAACCCGCGUCCAGGAUUCCCGAGGAGUCUCCUGGGUGCAGGCGUGUGUUAGCGUAGUGCCUUCCCACGCUGCUGCAGCCUCCGUUGUAUCUAUUUCAGUGGCAAAUAUACGGUGCAGCCUACA